UCCUGCAACCGGAGCGUCCACUGAGCGGCGCCGCAGCCCGCAACUUCCACAGCCAGUCAGCCAGUCAGCCAGCCAGCCAGCGCUUCCUCCCUGCAACACGCUGCAGGCCAAUCCGCUCACCCACUCCUCCGCGUUGGGUUACUGUGACAAGGGCCCUGUCUGAACCACGACUUUUAGAAAGAUAAUAUUACAGGCCCACAGCUGAUCCAUCCCCCAGUACACAGUUGAGACAGAGGAGGUUAAAGCACUCUGAACGCAUGGGACCAUAUUGCAGAUGCGCAGAGGCUGUAAUGAAGAGCUCUUGAACUCCCAGUCAGAGAAGCUGUGACAGGAGUUCAGGAGGAUGCCUCUUUGGCUCUGCUGGAAAGGGACCUCCACUCUGGAUGAAAUUUAGCCCCGACCUCUGACCUUUGGGUUCCCCGCUUGUCUCCAGUCCAGUGACCACAAACAACUCCUGGAUUGCUGUAAAUGUCAGUGCAGCGGUGUCUCCGCCCUCGCCCCUGUGAACCAUAGGGCUGCACUCAACCUGCACUAAUAGGACACUUUCAUGAGAGCUCCAUUAUCAGUUAUGCUGUAUUUGAUAUCUCAGAUUUCCUCCUUAUGAUGCCUCUAUGAACUGAAUAACUGUCACCAAACAAACAGCAAUA